GAGUGGGAACGGGUGAGUAUACAUCGGAACCGUGCCAGUCGUGGGGGAUAACUACGCGAAAGCGUA
rnacentral:rRNA from 1 species